AAUGAACGUUGGCGGCAUGGAUUAGGCAUGCAAGUCGAGCGAGAAGAGUUUUGAAGCUUGCUUUAGAACUCGGACAGCGGCGAAAGGGAGAGUAACGCGUAGUUAUGUGCCCUAGGGUCCGGAAUAGCCACGGGAAACUGUGGGUAAUGCCGGAUAACAUCCCCGGAUCAAAGGUGUGAUUCCGCCCUAGGAGCAGACUGCGUCCUACUAGCUAGUUGGUGGGGUAAUGGCCCACCAAGGCAAUGAUGGGUAGCGGGUGUGAGAGCAUGACCCGUCUCACUGGGGCUGAGAUACGGCCCAGAAACCUACGGGGGGAUGCAGUCGAGAAUCGUCGGCAAGGGGCGAAGGCCUGACCGAGCGAUGCCGCGUGCGGGAUGAAGGCCCUCGGGUUGUAAACCGCUGUCGUAGGGGAGGAAGGUUCCGUGAAGAGCGGGACUUGACCUAUCCUAGGAGGAAGUACGGGCUAAGUUCG
rnacentral:rRNA from 1 species